AGGGGCGGCGCCUGCGCGGUGGCUCGGCCGAUGUCUGGUCCCCAUUGUGCUGUGUAUUAGAGUGUGUGGCCGGCUUUCUGCUGUUACCUGUGUGUUGUGACGUCCGGCCCUGCAAUGGACCGGAGUUCGAAAAGACGACAAGUGAAGCCUUUGGCAGCCUCCCUUCUUGAAGCAUUGGAUUAUGAUAGCUCAGAUGACAGUGAUUUUAAAGUUGGAGAUGCCUCAGAUUCUGAAGGCAGCGCCAUUGGUAGCGAUGAUGGGUCAAAAGACAGCGGUGAAUGCUCUGGCACUGACUCAGAAGACAACUUAAAGGAGGAAGAUAUGUCGAUUGUUGUCCCUAAAGAAGAAGAAAGGCGGGCCCUCAAACAAGAAGAUGCCGGUACAGGUUACCAAAGGAAUGAAGACAAAGCUACAGAUGAGCAGCCCAGGAAAGACCACACAAAGAAAGACGAGACUGACAAACAACAGAAGGAGAAACCUCCCGAGGCCGACGUUGCUACUGACGAGCAAGCAAGUGAACCCAAGAAAUGGAACCUCCGAAGGAACCGUCCACUGCUGGACUUCAUCACCAUGGAAGAGUUAAACGCGAUGGACGACUAUGACAGCGAAGAUGACAAUGAUUGGAGACCCACAGGAGGCAGGAGGAAAGGAAAAUCUUCUACCGGGGAGGGCAGCGACGGGGAGGAUGAUGAAGAAGAAGAUGGGAGCGAAGAUGAAUCAAAUCACCAAGACGGCAAUAAAGACGACAGCUGCAGUUCAAGCGACGACGAAAGGAAGAAGAAAAAAAUCAAGAUUCCCAGUAGGAACAGCGGUGAUGAUGAGGAGCUGACGAAUGACAGCUUGACAUUGUCUCAAAGCAAAAGUAAUGAGGACUCGCUUAUCCUGGAGAAAAGUGACAAGUGGUGCUCCCAGAAAAUGGAUCACAUAUUAAUAUGCUGCGUGUGUCUAGGGGACAAUAGUGAAGAUGCGGAUGAGAUUAUCCAGUGCGAUAACUGCGGUAUCACCGUGCAUGAAGGCUGUUAUGGUGUCGAUGGAGAGAGCGAUUCGAUCAUGAGCUCGGCCUCUGAAAAUUCUACUGAGCCCUGGUUUUGUGAUGCCUGCAAGUGCGGCGUGUCCCCCAGCUGUGAGCUGUGCCCGAACCAAGAUGGUAUAUUUAAGGAGACCGAUGCAGGAAGAUGGGUCCACAUAGUUUGUGCGCUCUACGUCCCUGGGGUCGCUUUUGGAGACAUUGACAAAUUACGUCCAGUGACCUUAACGGAGAUGAACUAUUCAAAAUAUGGGGCAAAGGAAUGCAGCUUCUGUGAAGAUCCGCGAUUUGCCAGGACCGGAGUGUGUAUCAGCUGCGACGCAGGGAUGUGCAGAGCUUACUUUCAUGUGACUUGUGCCCAGAAGGAAGGCUUGCUCUCGGAAGCCGCUGCUGAAGAGGAUAUCGCAGAUCCUUUCUUUGCGUACUGUAAGCAGCAUGCCGACCGCUUUGAUAGAAAAUGGAAGAGGAAAAACUAUUUGGCUCUGCAAUCCUACUGCAAAAUGUCCUUGAAGGAGAGAGAAAAGCACCUGACGCCGGAAGCACAGGGAACCGUUUCUGUUUCUCUUCAGGCUCGCAUCUCCACCAGACUCCAGCAGUACAGAGUGAAGUCCGAGCUGGCUCGUAACACCAGACCCCAAGCGUGGGUCCCAAGAGAGAAGCUGCCUCGCCCGCUUACCAGCAGCGCCUCCGCCAUACGGAAACUUAUGCGCAAAGCAGAACUGAUGGGGAUCAGCACAGACAUUUUCCCUGUGGACAAUUCAGACACGACCUCCAGCGUCGAUGGCCGAAGGAAGCACAAGCAGCCCGCUCUCACGGCCGACUUUGUCAACUACUACCUGGAGAGGAACAUGCGUAUGAUGCAACUGCAAGAAAAUAUGGCCGAGCAGAAGAAUAUAAAAGACAAAUUGGAGAACGAGCAGGAGAAACUCCACGUUGAGUAUAACAAGCUCUGUGAAACUCUGGAUGAUUUGCAGAACGUCAAUAGCAACCUGCGGGACGAGGGGCAGACUCUGUGGAUUAUGAUGUGUAAAGUUGCAGGUCAGAAGCCGAAUCUGCCAGUCAUCCUCCGGGCGCCGAAAGAAAGAAGACCCAGUAAGCGAGAGGGGGGGACGCAGAAGACGCUGCUGUUGCCGGCGAUCCUCUACAGUUGUGGAAUAUGUAAGAAGAACAAUGACCAGCAUCUCCUCCUGCUGUGUGACACCUGCAAGCUGCACUAUCACUUGGGGUGCCUGGAUCCCCCACUUACAAGAAUGCCCAAGAAAACCAAGAACAGCUACUGGCAGUGCUCGGAGUGCGACCAGGCCGGUAGCAGCGACAUAGAAGCGGAUUUUGCCAUGGAAACUUUACCGAAUGGAACCAAGAGAUCCAGAAGGCAGAUAAAGGAACCAGUGAAGUUUGUGUCGCAGGACAUGCCUCAAGACCCCAAGAAGAUCCCUUUAAGGGGCACAAGACAUUGCUUUAGAGGAAGGCGGAAAAGCGCUCAGUUACAAUAUGAACUUUCAGAGGAUCUAAAGAAGGAGAAGGUACCAGCAGAGACCGCCAAGCAAGCAGAGAUCCUUCCUGAGCAGGCGCCGAGGAGUGAGAUUUUGUCGUUUGGCAAAGCGAAGCUUAUGCGAAAGACCACCUCUGUGACCAGAUUUCGAUUCCAUCACGUAUUAUGCAUUUUGUGUGAAGACCACCCCUCUAGAAGACCACAAUUUAAUGCAAAUUGGAGAACCAGAGGCCAGAAGAGGAAGAGAAGCUACCUGCUUGAAGAAGACAAACCCGAGGAACGGAUUGGGAGGGAGAGGCGGAGAAGACAACCCAUGGCGCUACAAAAAAGGCUUAAAUCGGAAGACCCAAGAACCGAAUGUGCGUCGUGUAAAGGCAUUGGAGACAAUGAGAACCUUGUCAGGUGUGAUGAAUGUAGGCUCUGCUACCACUUUGGCUGCUUGGACCCUCCUCUGAAAAAGUCUCCAAAGCAGACGGGAUAUGGAUGGAUUUGCCAGGAAUGUGACUCUUCUUCUUCCAAAGAGGGUCCACAUUGAAUGCUCUGGGAAGAAAGCCUUUCAGAUUGCUGCAGUCCAACGUCAGUCUGCAGCCAACAAGGAAGAUGAAACUGAAAAGCCGGAGACAGAAUCUCAACAGCAGGAGACCAUGUGAAAAAAAAAGUUGAAUCUUGUCAAAUUUGCGAACAUGUAUUGGAAAAAAAAAUGGUGUUGCAUUAGAAUUCAUGAUUUUCUAUAAAUAGAAAAAAAUUCCUAGCAUUACAGAACUGGAUGUUUAUGGAACAUUUCAGAGAUGACCUCCAUGUAGACAGUUAGGACUCAUCAGUUGUACUGAGGCGUUAUACGAAGCCCAAAUACAAGAUUUUGUAUGCGCUUGUCAACACUGUAUUAUGGAGAGAAUUCAUUUAUGGGAAGAAGACUUCCAUAAUAUGGCACGAUAUGGAGGAACCAUAUGGUGGAACUGGUAGUGCCUACAACUCUAUGGUAGGGAGCUGGAGGAACUUUGUGUGUCUCUGUGCAGACACUGUUCACUCGACCCUGCCAUGUACAUGAGUCCUUAAAGGCAUUUCUACCCUCUUGCCCCUUUUUAAGCGUUCUUACUUACAUACUACCUACUGCUCCAUUCUGGCUCCCUGGUUCUGUUCUGCAAUCUUACAGAAGUGGUCAUGUAUGCUGCAGUGGCCAGUGACGUGUCCCCAAGAAGUACAUGACCUAACUGUGACAUGCCGCUUGGGGAGACCAGUGAUUUGCCACGGCAGGAUACGUGACUCUCUGGGACCACAUGUGGGAUCAAAUGACCACUGAAUGGGGCUAGGAAGAAGAAACGGGCAAAAGGAUGGACAUCCCCUUUAAGCCAAGGGCAUAGUUUGGGUCUUCCACUACUGAUUCUACAAAAGAAAAAAAAACAGUUGAAACAUCUCUACUGCUACAUAUGAGUUCAUGUGGUUUUUUGUAUUUUCUCCCCACCCCAAAAAUAAUAUUGCUAUAAACAGGGUAGUUGAGGGCUUUCUUAUUUUAUUUUUAUUUUUUUAAGUCAAAGUCAGGAGUGGAUCUAAAAUGAAACUGAACUUCACCUAAAUAUUUUUUUUAACUUUUUUUGGCUGCAGUGCAGGUCCAUAGUGCUGUGUUCAAGUCGGCCAUGAUCAGCUGGUGUGCCACCACUUCUCUGUCAGAGUAUGUUUUACAAAUUAAUUUUAUGGGGGAAAAAUGUU